CUACGGGUGGCAGCAGUAGGGAAUCUUCCACAAUGGACGAAAGUCUGAUGGAGCAACGCCGCGUGAGUGAAGAAGGUUCUCGGAUCGUAAAACUCUGUUGUGAGGGAAGAACAAGUACCGGAGUAACUGCCGGUACCUUGACGGUACCUCAUUAGAAAGCCACGGCUAACUACGUGCCAGCAGCCGCGGUAAUACGUAGGUGGCAAGCGUUGUCCGGAAUCAUUGGGCGUAAAGCGCGCGCAGGCGGUCCCUUAAGUCUGAUGUGAAAGCCCACGGCUCAACCGUGGAGGGUCAUUGGAAACUGGGGGACUUGAGUGCAGAAGAGGAAAGCGGAAUUCCAAGUGUAGCGGUGAAAUGCGUAGAGAUUUGGAGGAACACCAGUGGCGAAGGCGGCUUUCUGGUCUGUAACUGACGCUGAGGCGCGAAAGCGUGGGGAGCAAACAGGAUUAGAUACCCCCGUAGUC
rnacentral:rRNA from 1 species